GGGGGUGUUGCUCAGUGGUAGAGCACUUGCCUAGCAUGUAUGAGGCCCUGGGUUCAAUUCUCAGCACCACAU
rnacentral:tRNA from 1 species